AGCAGGAGAAGCACAGGUGUAAUUAAUAACGCUAACGAGGACUCACCCUGGAACUGGCUCCCCUGAGAGCUGCCAUCGUUAGUGUUAUCAAUUACACCUGGGGUUUUCCUGCUCGCCUGCUAGAAGCGCCACAGUGCAUCUUUUUGAACGCUGGAAAAGCUUGCGCAGGUUGGACUGGGUAAUGACAUCGUCAGGUUUCAGCUGGAGUGCAUGCAGGUAGUUUGUCUCCGCUUCGGGAAGUUUCCCAUUCAGGUGGAGGAUGGCACCGAGGUUCAUCAGAGCAGCCGGGUACUAGAGGAGGGCAAAGACAGCGUGAGAACGGUGCAAAAAGACCAGCCUGUGUUCCUCACCUCAAGUAACAAAUGAACGCUUACGGAGCUGGAAUAUUUCAAGAAGUGGCCUGGAAGACCAACGCUGGAGAAUUAAUUAAUUAAUGUAGUUUAACAGAGGAGCUGCAGUGCAGUACUGCCACCCCCCUUUUCAGCGAGUUUGUUUUUCUCACCUAGUGCAACAAAUGAAUGCAUCAAGCAGUUACAUUUAAAAGUGCUCAAAACCCUUGUUCUGCUUUUUGUACCAGCGAGAGACUUUGUGAGCGGCCGAGACAUACUAAGCUAGAUAAAUGAGGGUCCCUUUGCCAUUCUAAACAACCGGGUGAUAUGUAAUACACAAACUGGGCUAAAUCAUCAGAAAUGGAGCCUUGCUUAUGUUCUGUGUACGGGAAUGCAGACAGAAAGUAAUUCAGUAAGUCCUUUUUUUUGCCUUUUUUCUUUUGACUGAAACAAUGAUUUCUGAAGUUUGCUCGGUCUUGCUGUAAUACUCACAGGGAUGAAAUGGAUGUAAGUUCUUGAUCAAGUUGGAUAUACAGUUACAGUCUCUGAUCUUCAGCUUUUGAGAUGCACACUGCACUACAGUGAACCAUUAUUAUACUGUGUUAAAAGUAUAACCCUCCGCAACUAUUAAAUACUCUGCUUUUGAAUAAUAAUUUGUCUGUUUUAGUUUUUUUCCAAAUCCAGAAUCUAUAAUUAUGGAACGGUUUCAUUUCAUGCAGUGCUGCACACCUCCAGCUCCCCAGCAAGGUAACCAGCGAUACUGUGCCCUGCUGUUGUAAAAAAAAAAACUUGCAUGAAAUAAAAUCCUGGUUGGUCAUUUCUUUGUUUACUAUAUAUACACCUACACAUAUACUUACUUUUGUU